UACGGAGGGGGCAAGCGUUAUUCGGAAUUAUUGGGCGUAAAGGGCGCGUAGGCGGCUAGAUGUGUCAAAGGUGAAAUCCCUCGGCUCAACUGAGGAACUGCCUUUGAAACUGUCUGGCUUGAGGCCGGGAGAGGGUAGCGGAAUUCCCAGUGUAGCGGUGAAAUGCGUAGAUAUUCGGAAGAACACCAGUGGCGAAGGCGGCUCACUGGCCCGGUACUGACGCUGAUGUGCGAAAGCGUGGGGAGCAAACAGG
rnacentral:rRNA from 1 species